rnacentral:rRNA from 1 species
GACGAACGCUGGCGGCGUGCCUAAUACAUGCAAGUAGGACGCACAGUCUAUACCGUAGCUUGCUACACCAUAGGCUGUGAGUUGCGAACGGGUGAGUAACGCGUAGGUAACCUGCCUAUUAGAGGGGGAUAACUAUUGGAAACGAUAGCUAAUACCGCAUAACAGUAUGUAACACAUGUUAGAUGCUUGAAAGAUGCAAUUGCAUCGCUAGUAGAUGGACCUGCGUUGUAUUAGCUAGUAGGUAGGGUAAUGGCCUACCUAGGCGACGAUACAUAGCCGACCUGAGAGGGGGAUCGGCCACACUGGGACUGGGACACGGCCCAGACUCCUACGGGAGGCAGCAGUAGGGAAUCUUCGGCAAUGGGGGGAACCCUGACCGAGCAACGCCGCGUGAGUGAAGAAGGUUUUCGGAUCGUAAAGCUCUGUUGUUAAGGAAGAACGAGCGUGAGAAUGGAAAGUUCAUACUGUGACGGUACUUAACCAGAAAGGGACGGCUAACUACGUG